rfam:Fictibacillus phosphorivorans strain G25-29, complete genome.
UGGGUCCUAUGGUGACCGUUAACAACCCGAAAGUUUUGAGCCAACAUUAAGUAUUAGGGAGUUUGUGUUUUCACACAGCGUCCAUGCCCUGAAAGCUAGGGGACGGACAAAAUGUGAAACAGGGCACCCACCUGCGAGAGCAGGUUCAAAACUAAGGGUAUACGGCAUUUUUGGGGCUCAU